GUGUGUGUGGUGGGGGAGGCGGAGGUCGCUGUUUCCUUGUUCUCCGGCUGGUGUGAUCUCAGCGGUCCGGAGCUUCAGGGGGGCGAGGCUAUGUCGCGCUUGCAGCCCGUAUAGGCAGGCAGGGCCUGGAGUAACGGGACAUCACCGAGAAGCUUUUUCCAGAGUGGAGGCCGCGGCUCCACCAUGUUCUGAGGAACCCGCGCCGCGCAAAGCCCGCUCGACACUAAGCAACCCGGCUAGCCUGGUUUGAUCUAGCCCAUUUCUGGCAGGAAGUAGUGAAGCAACUCAUAGAACCAGGGAAGAGCGCCCAUACAGGUAGUGCUGCACUAGCCCACUGGCACAAGAAACUCCCUUCCCAAAGGACACGAAGCUAUUGGAGAACUCCAGCUUUGAGGCCAUCAACUCACAGUUGACAGUGGAGACUGGAGAUGCCCAUGUCAUUGGCAGGAUUGAAAGAUACUCAUGAAAGAUGGCAGAAGACGAUGAACAUAUAUGUUCAAGCAGUUCUGCCAGGAGGGCUAGCCUAUUGGAGGCACUGUCCCCACCCCAAACUUCAGGCCUCAGUCCCAGCAGACUGAGCAAGAGCCAGGGUGGUGAGGAUGAAAGUCCGCUGUGUGACAAGUACAGCUGCAAGACCCUCUUCUAUCUGAUUGCCACCCUCGACGAGUCCUUCUGGUCAGACUAUGACUUCAGCACAGCCAGAAGUCAUGAGUUCAGCAGAGAGCCAAGCCUCCCCUGGGUGGUAAAUGCAGUCAACUGCAGCCUGUUUUCAGCUGUUCGGGAAGACUUCAAGGCCCCGCAGCCACAGCUGUGGAAUGCAGUGGAUGAGGAGAUCGGCUUAGCUGAAUGUGACAUCUACAGCUAUAACCCAGAUCUAGACUCAGACCCCUUUGGGGGAGAUGGAAGCCUCUGGUCAUUCAACUACUUCGUUUACAACAAGCGACUUAAAUGAAUUGCCUUCUUUAGUUGCUGCUCCAUCAGUGGCUCCACCCACACACCGUCAGAGGCAGGUAAUGUACUGGACUUGGAACUGGGGGCAGCACAGGUUGAGGAAGAGUGCGGAGGUGGAGGCGGCAAGG